UGCGGAAUUUUAGAUAAUGGAGGCAACUCUGAUCUAGCGACGCCGCGUGCAGGAAGAAGGUCUUCGGAUUGUAAACUGCUGUGGUAAGGGAAAAAUGCCAUGUAGAGUGGAAAGCUACAUGGAGGGAUGGUACUUUACUAGAAAGCCCCGGCUAACUACGUGCCAGCAGCCGCGGUAAUACGUAGGGGGCGAGCGUUACCCGGAAUCACUGGGCGUAAAGGGAGCGUAGGUGGCCUGACAUGUCAACUGUGAAAACCCGGAGCUCAACUCCGGACUUGCAGUUGAAACUGCCAGGCUUGAGGACGGUAGAGGAAGACGGAACUGCCAGUGUAGGGGUAAAAUCCUUAGAUAUUGGCAGGAACGCCGGUGACGAAGGUGGUUUUCUGGGCCGGUUCUGACACUGAUGCUCGAAAGCCAGGGGAGCGAACGGG
rnacentral:rRNA from 1 species